GUGGGGAAUAUUGGACAAUGGGGGCAACCCUGAUCCAGCAAUGCCGCGUGUGUGAAGAAGGCCUUCGGGUUGUAAAGCACUUUCAGUAGGGAGGAAAAGCACAAGGUUAAUACCCUUGGGUCUUGACGUUACCUACAGAAGAAGCACCGGCUAACUCUGUGCCAGCAGCCGCGGUAAUACAGAGGGUGCGAGCGUUAAUCGGAAUUACUGGGCGUAAAGCGCACGUAGGUGGUUAGCUAAGUUGGAUGUGAAAGCCCCGGGCUUAACCUGGGAAUUGCAUUCAAAACUGUCUGACUAGAGUAUGGUAGAGGGAAGUGGAAUUCCACAUGUAGCGGUGAAAUGCGUAGAUAUGUGGAGGAACAUCAGUGGCGAAGGCGACUUCCUGGACCAAUACUGACACUGAGGUGCGAAAGCGUGGGGAGCAAACAGG
rnacentral:rRNA from 1 species